CCGUGCCACUAUAUGCAACAGACAAGCUGGCCAAUGAAUUCUUCCUCUUUAACAAUGGGACAACCAUUCAGAUAGUUCUUCAGUAGGGAUGAGACGGUUUACAUUUAUUUAAGUUAUAAAGCAGCUGUUUACUGGAAGUUGGAACAAUGCCACUUUUUUUGUUCUUUUUGGGCGGUUCAUAUUUGCUUCUGCUUUUCUGAUAGCAUGAAUGACUUUGGUGCCAUAGAUUCUUCCAUAUCUUAUCUUGUCCUUUUCUUCUUUUCUUUUCUUUUGUUUUCUUUUUAUUCUUUUUCAUCUGAAUUUUUCUAGUGAAAAAUGAACAGAAAAAGGUUCAUGCAACAUACCACAAGAUACAGUUUUGUUGCCUCUUUAUUCAAUCCAAAUCCUGCUGAGAUAUCUCUCAAAAAUCAAAACCCUUCAUUUUUCAUAUUGAAAAAGUUGCAGCAUCACAAAACUAUGUGAUUUGUGUCCGUCUUAUAAUGCUAUAAUUACAUAACAGCACUUCUCCUAAAGAACUUUUCAAUGUGACUAACAUCAUGCCUUGGGGUUCUUCUCCCUCAUCCCUUUUUUUGCCAUAAUAACCUGUUUUGGAGAUCUAAAGCCAUUGAGAGUUGAGGCCUUGGUUUGCUUGCAACACACAUGGAAUGUGACAUGACCUCUUCCUUAAUGUAAACAUAUCCAUUCUCUUGAGGUUUCCCUUAGAGAGGAGAUGUCACAACAUGCUCCUCUGUAUGGUGUUGGCUUGGAAGACCUGUCAAUGAAGGAACUAGACACAUUGUCGAGUAUCCAUCAGCAAGGGCUCGAACAGAUAUAUGUCCUCCAGCAACAGAAAGCUAAUCUUGCCGUCAACCCUCCUGCAGACCCCAACACCUUUCCAAGCUCCAGCAGGUCAUAAAAUACUCUCUAUUAACCCAUCUCCGGAUUUGUUUGUAAUCUGGUAUCUGGUCCACCACAACAGUGGACAAGUUUCUUUCAAGGGACUACCUUGGAAUGAUCAAGCAGACGUUCAUUUCCAACAAAUGGCAUCUGGGUGGUCCUGCCUUCUUGACCUCAAGAUCUUACUAGUAUUUCAAAAACUACAGCUUUCUUCCCCGCCCCCCCCCCCCUUUUUUGUUGUUUAAUUUUUUUUUUAAUAUCUUUUUGUUUUCUUGUUAUAAAGCUUCUAUUUUGUUUUUAAACUGAUGGAACCUAGAUUUUGUGAAAUAUACAAUAGAAAAGGAAUACAAUUACAGAAAGUAAAACUUCAUGGCCUCUGUAGUUGCACUAGCUAACCCUUUUUUUAGGUGUGUUGGGAUUAUGAACUUGUAAUUGAUUUCUAAUUUUUCAAAUGGGGUGUGAUAAGCCAACCUGUAUUACGUUUAA